UCCUACGGGAGGCAGCAGUGGGGAAUAUUGGACAAUGGGCGCAAGCCUGAUCCAGCCAUACCGCGUGGGUGAAGAAGGCCUUCGGGUUGUAAAGCCCUUUUGUUGGGAAAGAAAAGCAGCGGGCUAAUACCCAGCUGUUCUGACGGUACCCAAAGAAUAAGCACCGGCUAACUUCGUGCCAGCAGCCGCGGUAAUU
rnacentral:rRNA from 1 species